rnacentral:rRNA from 1 species
AGAGUUUGAUCAUGGCUCAGGAUGAACGCUGGCGGCGUGCCUAAUACAUGCAAGUCGGACGAGGCACAGACAUCGUAAGGUGACUGUACCUAGUGGCGAACGGGUGAGUAACACGUAGGCGACCUGCCCCGGAGAGGGGGACAACGGCUCGAAAGGGCUGCUAAUACCCCAUUCGUCUCAUCGAGAUUAGAGGCUAGAUGAGGAAAAGGAGCAAUCCGCUCUGGGAGGGGCCUGCGGCCCAUCAGGUAGUUGGUGAGGUGAAGGCUCACCAAGCCGAAGACGGGUAGGGGGCCUGAGAGGGUGGUCCCCCACACGGGCACUGAGAGACGGGCCCGACUCCUACGGGAGGCAGCAGUAAGGGAUAUUGCGCAAUGGGCGAAAGCCUGACGCAGCAACGCCGCGUGCGCGAGGAAGGCCUUCGGGUCGUAAAGCGCUUUUGGGGCUGAAGAGCGAGGACGGUAAGCCCCGAAUAAGUGUCGGCUAACUACGUGCCAGCAGCCGCGGUAAACGUAGGACGCGAGCGUUAUCCGGAGUUACUGGGCGUAAAGGGCAGGCAGGCGGACCGGCAAGCGUUGUGUGAAAUC